rnacentral:rRNA from 1 species
AUUGAACGCUGGCGGCAGGCCUAACACAUGCAAGUCGGGCGAGUGGCGGACGGGUGAGUAAUGUCUGGGGAUCUGCCUGAUGGAGGGGGAUAACUACUGGAAACGGUAGCUAAUACCGCAUACCAUCAGAUGAACCCAUAUGGGAUUAGCUUGUUGGUGGGGUAACGGCUCACCAAGGCGACGAUCCCUAGCUGGUCUGAGAGGAUGAUCAGCCACACUGGAACUGAGACACGGCCCAGACUCCUACGGGAGGCAGCAGUGGGGAAUAUUGCACAAUGGGCGCAAGCCUGAUGCAGCCAUGCCGCGUGUAUGAAGAAGGCCUUCGGAUUGUAAAGCACUUUAAGUGGGGAGGCGUUACCAACAGAAUAAGCACCGGCUAACUUCGUGCCAGCAGCCGCGGUAAUUC